rnacentral:tRNA from 1 species
GUCGCCGGGGGAGCGGUCAGGCAUGGGCCUUCGUACGGCCCCGGCCCCGGUUGCGGCGCCGGGCGGCGGCC